GACGUAGGGUGCGAGCGUUGUCCGGAUUUAUUGGGCGUAAAGAGCUCGUAGGCGGCUCGUCGCGUCGACCGUGAAAACCCGUGGCUCAACCAUGUGGUCUGCAGUCGAUACGGGCAGGCUAGAAUUCGGUAGGGGAGACUGGAAUUCCUGGUGUAGCGGUGAAAUGCGCAGAUAUCAGGAGGAACACCGGUGGCGAAGGCGGGUCUCUGGGCCGAUAUUGACGCUGAGGAGCGAAAGCGUGGGGAGCGAACAGG
rnacentral:rRNA from 1 species